rnacentral:snRNA from 1 species
GGAUGUGAGGGCGAUCUGGCUGCGACAUCUGUCACCCCAUUGAUCGCCAGGGUUGAUUCGGCUGAUCUGGCUGGCUAGGCGGGUGUCCCCUUCCUCCCUCACCACUCCAUGUGCGUCCCUCCCGAAGCUGCGUGCUCGGUGGAAGAGGACGACGUCCCAGGUAUAGAAGGAGUGUACCGAGGUCUCCAGUCUUCGGUCCCAGGUAUAUCUGGG